AUACGGAGGGUGCAAGCGUUACUCGGAAUCACUGGGCGUAAAGCGCGCGCAGGCGGGCUGAUAAGUUGGAUGUGGAAGCCUACGGCUCAACCGUAGAACUGCAUCCAAAACUGUCAGUCUAGAGUGUGGGAGAGGAAGAUGGAAUUAGUUGUGUAGGGGUAAAAUCCGUAGAGAUAACUAGGAAUACCAAAAGCGAAGGCAAUCUUCUGGAACACUACUGACGCUGAGGCGCGAAGGCGUGGGGAGCAAACAGGAUUAGAAACCCUAGUAGUCC
rnacentral:rRNA from 1 species